GAUGAACGCUGGCGGCGUGCCUAAUACAUGCAAGUCGAGCGAACAGACGAGGAGCUUGCUCCUCUGACGUUAGCGGCGGACGGGUGAGUAACACGUGGAUAACCUACCUAUAAGACUGGGAUAACUUCGGGAAACCGGAGCUAAUACCGGAUAAUAUAUUGAACCGCAUGGUUCAAUAGUGAAAGACGGUUUUGCUGUCACUUAUAGAUGGAUCCGCGCCGCAUUAGCUAGUUGGUAAGGUAACGGCUUACCAAGGGAACGAUGCGUAGCCGACCUGAGAGGGUGAUCGGCCACACUGGAGCUGAGACAGGGUCCAGACUCCUACGGGAGGCAGCAGUAGGGAAUCUUCCGCAAUGGGCGAAAGCCUGACGGAGCAACGCCGCGUGAGUGAUGAAGGUCUUCGGAUCGUAAAACUCUGUUAUUAGGGAAGAACAAAUGUGGAAGUAACUAUGCACGGCUUGACGGUACCUAAUCAGAAAGCCACGGCUAACUACGUG
rnacentral:rRNA from 1 species